AAUAGAUACCCAGGUAGUCCAUGCUGUAAACGAUGAGAACUAGAUGUUAGGGGGCAUGACCUCUUAGUAUCGAAGCUAACGCGAUAAGUUCUCCGCCUGGGGAGUACGGCCGCAAGGUUAAAACUCAAAGAAAUUGACGGGGGCCCGCACAAGCGGUGGAGCAUGUGGUUUAAUUCGAUGCAACGCGAAGAACCUUACCUACCUUUGAAUCCACGGAACCUAGCAGAGAUGUUGGGGUGCCUUCGGGAACCGUGAGACAGGUGCUGCAUGGCUGUCGUCAGCUCGUGUCGUGAGAUGUUGGGUUAAGUCCCGUAACGAGCGCAACCCUUGUCCUUAGUUGCCAUCAGGUUAUGCUGGGCACUUUAAGGAGACUGCCGGUGAUAAACCGGAGGAAGGUGGGGAUGACGUCAAGUCCUCAUGGCCCUUACAGGUAGGGCUACACACGUGCUACAAUGGGCAGUACAGAGGGAAGCCAACCCGCGGAGGGGGAGCGAAUCUCAUAAAGCUGUUCGUAGUCCGGAUUGGAGUCUGCAACUCGACU
rnacentral:rRNA from 1 species